ACUACCUUAGGAUGGGAUAACCUGGGAAACUGGGGAUAAUACCGGAUAGGCAAUUAUUCCUGCAAUGGUUUUUUGUUUAAAUGUUUUUUCGCCUAAGGAUGGGUCUGCGGCCGAUUAGGUAGUUGGUUAGGUAAUGGCUUACCAAGCCGUUGAUCGGUACGGGUUGUGAGAGCAAGAGCCCGGAGAUGGAACCUGAGACAAGGUUCCAGGCCCUACGGGGUGCAGCAGGCGCGAAACCUCCGCAAUGUGAGAAAUCGCGACGGGGGGAUCCCAAGUGCCAUUCUUAACGGGAUGGCUUUUCAUUAGUGUAAAAAGCUUUUGGAAUAAGAGCUGGGCAAGACCGGUGCCAGCCGCCGCGGUAACACCGGCAGCUCUAGUGGUAGCAAUUUUUAUUGGGCCUAAAGCGUCCGUAGCCGGUUUAAUAAGUCUCUGGUGAAAUCCUGUAGCUUAACUGUGGGAAUUGCUGGAGAUACUAUUAGACUUGAGACCGGGAGAGGUUAGAGGUACUCCCAGGGUAGAGGUGAAAUUCUGUAAUCCUG
rnacentral:rRNA from 1 species